GAUGAACGCUGGCGGCAUGCCUAACACAUGCAAGUCGAGCGAACAGACCAGGAGCUUGCUCCUCUGCCGUUAACGGCGGACGGGUGAGUAACCCGUAGAUAACCUACCUAUUAGACUGGGAUAACCUCGGGAAACCGGAUCCACUAACGGAGCAUAUACCCAACCGCAUGGUUCAUUAGUGAUAGACGCCUUUGCCGUCAGUCUGAGAUGGAUCCGCGCCGCAUGAGUUACUUGGUAAGGGAACGCCAUACCAAGGCGACGAUGCGUAGCCGACCCGACAGGGUGAUCGGCCACACUGGAACUGAGACACGGUCCAGACUCCUACGGGAGGCAGCAGUCGGGAAUCUUCCACAAUGGGCGAAAGCCUGACCCAGCCAUGCCGCGUGAGUGAUGAAGGCCUUCGGUUCGUAAAGCUCUUUUAUUAGGAAAGAAGAACGGUAUAAGAAUCUAUGCACGUCCUGACGGUACCCAAACAAGAAGCACCGGCUAACUUCGUG
rnacentral:rRNA from 1 species